UGUUUCGGCUAGGGGGUCAUCCCGACUUACCAACCCGAUGCAAACUACGAAUACCGAAGAAUGUUAUCACGGGAGACACACGGCGGGUGCUAACGUCCGUCGUGAAGAGGGAAACAACCCAGACCGCCAGCUAAGGUCCCAAAGUCAUGGUUAAGUGGGAAACGAUGUGGGAAGGCACAGACAGCCAGGAUGUUGGCUUAGAAGCAGCCAUCAUUUAAAGAAAGCGUAAUAGCUCACUGGUCGAGUCGGCCUGCGCGGAAGAUGUAACGGGGCUAAACCAUGCACCGAAGCUGCGGCAGCGACACUAUGUGUUGUUGGGUAGGGGAGCGUUCUGUAAGCCUGCGAAGGUGUGCUGUGAGGCAUGCUGGAGGUAUCAGAAGUGCGAAUGCUGACAUAAGUAACGAUAAAGCGGGUGAAAAGCCCGCUCGCCGGAAGACCAAGGGUUCCUGUCCAACGUUAAUCGGGGCAGGGUGAGUCGACCCCUAAGGCGAGGCCGAAAGGCGUAGUCGAUGGGAAACAGGUU
rnacentral:rRNA from 1 species